rnacentral:rRNA from 1 species
GAACCGUACAAACGUUAUUCGGAAUCACUGGGCUUAAAGGGUGCGUAGGCGGGUCCUGCAAGUUGGGGUGUGAAAUCCCUCGGGCUUAACCGAGGGACUGCGCCCAAAACUGCCGGGCUAGAGGGAGACAGAGGUGAGCGGAACUUAGGGUGGAGCGGUGAAAUGCGUUGAUAUCCUAAGGAACACCAGUGGCGAAAGCGGCUCACUGGGUCUCUUCUGACGCUGAGGCACGAAAGCUAGGGGAGCGAACGGGAUUAGAUACCCCGGUAGUCCUAGCUGUAAACGAUGAGCACUUGGCCGGAGGGUCCUCCAUAGCUUUCCGGCCGUAGCGAAAGUGUUAAGUGCUCCGCCUGGGGAGUAUGGUCGCAAAGGCUG